CCCACACAAGCAAGGACUGUGUAACCUUUUUUAUGACAAACAAAGGGUCCUUGUGGGCAAGAGUGAGGUGGCCCUAGGGGGUGUGGCCAGAUCUGCCUGGGCCCAUUGGUUCCGCUACCUCACAGAACCCAGUGUGAGGUCACAGUUGUUAGCUAUAUAAGGCCGAGGCUCAGGUGAAUUGUUUGUGGGUGACGUAGGAGUUGGAUGCUCCAGCACUGACAGCCUCCAGGAAAACUAUGAGGUGCUGCGCCUCCUUGACAAAGGCGGCUUUGGUGAGAUCCUCCUGGCCAAACACCGUGGCACAGGGAUGCUGGUCGCUGUGAAGGCGAUAGUGAAGACAAAGAUGCCAGCAGCCUGCAUUAUAUCAGAGGUGGGGAUGCUGAAGGACCUUCAACACCCCAAUAUCAUACAGCUACUGGAGGUCAUCGAAAGCAAGGACAAAGUAUACCUGGUCCUAGAGUAUGUGACGGGGGAAACCUGUGGGGAUGGAUCCGCAGGACUGAAAACCACAGGCUGCCAGAGGAGGAGGCCCGAGGGAUAUUUCGGGAUAUUGCGGGAGCUGUGGAUUAUUGUCAUACCCAGGGAAUUGUACACGCGGACCUCAAACCCCA
rnacentral:lncRNA from 1 species